CAUAAAACAGUAAUGCACAUUUACUUAACCAUCAUCAUCAUCAUCAUAUAUUUUACACCUCUCGACCUCUGCUUUACACGGUCUUAAUAUUAUAUAGACAGAUGUAUAACCAAUACCUGUAUUAUGGCAGCGCCGAACGUCUGAUAUCAAUAAAAAUCAACACUCAAAUCGCACGCGAGUGGGUGGUGAAAAACUGAAAACAUGCCAGAAGCCUAAACAUUCAAAAUAAUAUCAAUUUACUUCAAAUGUAUAUUUGACACCAAAUUGUGUUGAAUGUGUCACUGAAUGACCUAAGCAAACCUCAAAUUGUGUCAGAAAGCAAUCAACGAAUUAAAAGGACCCCUGGAGCUUGUGAGACUUAUACUUGAUAUAUAUUUACCAUAUUUAUUAAAAUUGAGCACCU